UAUAGAUGCGUGGUGCAGCUGCCUUAUUGACUGUAAAGAACAAAUCUAAACUGAUCCAUCCUCUGAAAGGAUCAUGGGGUAGUCUGGCCUCAUCAGUACAAAGGCAAGGAAUGAAGAAUGAUUCUGAGGGAGAGUCUGUGGUUACCAAAGAGAAAGCAGACCCAAUUGCAGCGUUCAGUAGGCCUCCACCACUCCCUCCCCUUCUUGGUCCAUUGGCUGUUUUCUCAUUGUUAGAAACGUAUUUGAGUCGUGAUGGAAAUGAUGACUAGAAGGGGAUGUUUUGUAUGUUUACAAUCUUUUCCAUGCCCACGAACAGAAUAA
rnacentral:misc_RNA from 1 species